UAGCUAGUUGGUAGGGUAAAGGCCUACCAAGGCGACGAUCGGUAGCUGGUCUGAGAGGAUGGCCAGCCACACUGGAACUGAGACACGGUCCAGGCUCCUACGGGAGGCAGCAGUGGGGAAUAUUGGACAAUGGGGGCAACCCUGAUCCAGCAAUGCCGCGUGUGUGAAGAAGGCCUGAGGGUUGUAAAGCACUUUCAGUGGGGAGGAGGAUGCAUAGGUUGAGAGCUAAUGUAUUGGACGUUACCCACAGAAGAAGCACCGGCUAGCUCCGUGCCAGCAGCCGCGGUAAUACGGAGGGUGCGAGCGUUAAUCGGAAUUACUGGGCGUAAAGGGUGCGUAGGUGGUUGUAUAAGUUAUCUGUGAAAUCCCCGGGCUCAACCUGGGCAGGUCAGAUAAGACUGUAUGACUCGAGUAUAGGAGAGGGUAGUGGGAUUUCCGGUGUAGCGGUGAAAUGCGUAGAGAUCGGAAGGAACACCAGUGGCGAAGGCGGCUACCUGGCCUAAUACUGACACUGAGGCACGAAAGCGUGGGGAGCAAACAGGAUUAGAUACCCUGGUAGUCCACGCCGUAAACGAUGUCAACUAGCUGUUGGUUAUAUAAAUAUAAUGAGUGGCGA
rnacentral:rRNA from 1 species